UACGUAGGCAGCAAGCGUUGUUCGGAGUUACUGGGCGUAAAGAGUAUGUAGGCGGUGUCCUAAGUUCGGUGUGAAAUCUCCCGGCUCAACUGGGAGGUGCGCCGAAGACUGGGAUGCUGGAGUCUCGGAGAGGAACGCGGAAUUCCUGGUGUAGCGGUGAAAUGCGUAGAUAUCAGGAGGAACACCAGUGGUGUAGACGGCGUUCUGGACGAGUACUGACGCUGGAGAAUACGAAAGCGUGGGGAGCAAACAGG
rnacentral:rRNA from 1 species